rnacentral:rRNA from 2 species
CCUGGCGGCGAUAGCGCGGUGGUCCCACCUGACCCCAUGCCGAACUCAGAAGUGAAACGCCGUAGCGCCGAUGGUAGUGUGGGGUCUCCCCAUGUGAGAGUAGGGAACUGCUAGGC